GAUGGAAGAACGUAGCGAAAUGCGAUAAGUAAUGUGAAUUGCAGAAUUCAGUGAAUCAUCGAAUCUUUGAACGCACAUUGCGCCCGCCAGCAUUCUGGCGGGCAUGCCUGUUCGAGCGUCAUUUCAACCCUCGCAGCCCAUCUGGGCAGCGGUGUUGGGGACCGGCACCACCGGCGAAGCCCUUAGGGGCCCAGCCGGCGCCGCCCCCGAAAUACAGUGGCGGUCUCGCUGCAGCCUCCCUUGCGUAGUAGCACACCUCGCACCGGAGCGCAGCGCGGCCACGCCGUAAAACCCCCGACUUUCUGAGUUUGACCUCGAAUCAGGUAGGAAUACCCGCUGAACUUAAGCAUAUCAAUAGCGGAGGA
rnacentral:misc_RNA from 1 species